GAACGGACCCUUCGGGGUUAGUGGCGGACGGGUGAGUAACACGUGGGAACGUGCCUUUAGGUUCGGAAUAGCUCCUGGAAACGGGUGGUAAUGCCGAAUGUGCCCUUCGGGGGAAAGAUUUAUCGCCUUUAGAGCGGCCCGCGUCUGAUUAGCUUGUUGGUGAGGUAAUGGCUCACCAAGGCGACGAUCAGUAGCUGGUCUGAGAGGAUGACCAGCCACAUUGGGACUGAGACACGGCCCAAACUCCUACGGGAGGCAGCAGUGGGGAAUCUUGCGCAAUGGGCGAAAGCCUGACGCAGCCAUGCCGCGUGGAUGAUGAAGGUCUUAGGAUUGUAAAAUCCUUUCACCGGUGAAGAUAAUGACUGUAGCCGGAGAAGAAGCCCCGGCUAACUUCGUGCCAGCAGCCGCGGUAAUACGAAGGGGGCUAGCGUUGCUCGGAAUUACUGGGCGUAAAGGGAGCGUAGGCGGACAUUUAAGUCAGGGGUGAAAUCCCAGAGCUCAACUCUGGAACUGCCUUUGAUACUGGGUGUCUUGAGUGUGAGAGAGGUAUGUGGAACUCCGAGUGUAGAGGUGAAAUUCGUAGAUAUUCGGAAGAACACCAGUGGCGAAGGCGACAUACUGGCUCAUUACUGACGCUGAGGCUCGAAAGCGUGGGGAGCAAACAGGAUUAGAUACCCUGGUAGUCCACGCCGUAAACGAUGAUUGCUAGUUGUCGGGAAGCUUGCUUCUCGGUGACGCAGCUAACGCAUUAAGCAAUCCGCCUGGGGAGUACGGUCGCAGAUUAAACUCAAGGAAUUGACGGGGCCCGCACAGCGGUGGAGCAUGUGGUUAAUUCGAAGCACGCGCARACUUACACCUUUUGACAUGCCUGGACGCAGA
rnacentral:rRNA from 1 species